GACGAACGCUGGCGGCGUGCUUAACACAUGCAAGUCGAACGGAGUGGCGAACGGGUGAGUAACACGUGGGUGAACUUCCCUGCACUUCGGGAUAAGCCUGGGAAACCGGGACUAAUAACGGAUAGUGUGGGAUGGGCACGCGGCCUAUCAGCUUGUUGGUGGGGUAAUGGCCUACCACGGCGGCGACGGGUCGCCGGCCUGAGCGGGUGGACGGCGACAUUGGGACUGCGACACGGCCCAGACUCCUACGGGAGGCAGCAGGGGGGAAUAUUGCGCAAUGGGCGGAAGCCUGAUGCAGCGACGCCGGGUGGGGGAUGACGGCCUUCGGGUUGUAAACGCCUUUCACCAUCGACGCGGUAGAUGGAGAAGAAGCACCGGCUAACUACGUGCCAGCAGCCGCGGUAAUAC
rnacentral:rRNA from 1 species